GAUGAACGCUGGCGGCGUGCUUAACACAUGCAAGUCGAACGGAAAGGCUCCUGCUUGCAGGGGUACUCGAGUGGCGAACGGGUGAGUAACACGUGGGUGAUCUGCCCUGCACUUCGGGAUAAGCCUGGGAAACUGGGUCUAAUACCGGAUAGGACGAUGGUUUGGAUGCCAUUGUGGAAAGUUUUUUCGGUGUGGGAUGAGCUCGCGGCCUAUCAGCUUGUUGGUGGGGUAAUGGCCUACCAAGGCGUCGACGGGUAGCCGGCCUGAGAGGGUGUACGGCCACAUUGGGACUGAGAUACGGCCCAGACUCCUACGGGAGGCAGCAGUGGGGAAUAUUGCACAAUGGGCGCAAGCCUGAUGCAGCGACGCCGCGUGGGGGAUGACGGCCUUCGGGUUGUAAACUCCUUUCGCUAGGGACGAAGCGCAAGUGACGGUACCUGGAGAAGAAGCACUGGCUAACUACGUG
rnacentral:rRNA from 1 species